GGCGGUUUCGUGUGCUCCACCGCACUGGUGGCGACAUCAUGUAUUCGCCGGAGAUGGCAAGUAAAAUAGUGGUCCUGUGCGCUAUACUCCACAAUAUCGCGGUAAGGAGUAGCGUAGAGCUUCCUCAGACAGAGGAAUUGCCUGAUGAGGAGCCAGGGGUUGUCCGACACUUCGGUGGGGGGAGUGUUACAAGGAGGGGGAGCCAAGUCAGGGCAAGCAUUGUUGCUGAAUUUUUCAGCUGAAAGACCACACAAACUGAGGACGACCACAACGGCAAGCACCACAUGAUGCACCAGCUCAGCACCCUUCCCCUUCUCACUCCCCCUCCACUUCCCAGUCCCCCUCCCCUUCUCACUCCCCCUCCCCUUCUCACUCCCCCUCCCCUUCUCACUCCCCCUCAGCUUCCCAAUCCCCCUCAGCUUCCCAAUCACCCUCAGCUUCACAAUCCACCUCAGCUUCCCUGUCACCCUCAGCUUCCCAGGCCCCCUCAGCUUCCCAGGCCCACUCCACUUUCCACUCCCCUUCUCAGCCAACCUCUCCUUCUCUUUCUGUGACCCCUUCUCCUCCUUCCCAUACCCCUUCUCCUUCUACUUCCAACUCACCUUCUCAGCCCCCCUCACCCUCUAUUGGCCUAACAUUUUCACCGCCCCCCUCGCCCUCUCAA